rnacentral:lncRNA from 1 species
UUAUCUUCAUCAUUUUGGGGGCCUUCCAAUGCAUUAUUAUUAUUAUUAUUCUCAGCCAUUUUGUGAUGAAAUUUGGUCAAAUUGAGGUUUCUUUGCAAAUCUACCAAACCGAUCACGAUAUCUCAUAAACAAAAUAAAGAAGCAACAAAUAAAUAAAUAAAAACUAAACUAAUUUUUUAAAUUAUAUAUAAAAAAAAAAACUAAGACAAAAGCAAACAAAAAAACACCAAAAAUAAAAACAGAAAGGAAAAUUUGAGUUUGAUAAGCCUUACCGAAUUAGCUUUUGGAAACUAAAACCGCAAAUCUUAACAAUGAAUUUCUUUGUGCUACUUUUCGCUUCACCGC